AUAUGUGUGAGCGUGGUGUUGCGUGUGAUGUUUGUAGUGAAAUUGAAAAAAAAAAGUAGGUUUAGUAUGCAUAAAUAAAUGUUCUCAUUAUUUGUGUGGAUGAUUUAGAAACGGACGAACUAAUUACAUACCGGGGUAAGAUCGAUUGAAAUUCCAUUAGAGCGCAAUGAAUCCCCGAGACAAUUGAAUUACACCAAUGAUCGCCCAAAAAAAUAAAGAGUACAAAGUCAUGUCACCGAGGCUAAAUUCGCCUCACUACUUGUGUGGAUGUACAAAAGAGACCAUUAAUUUCAAUCUACAGUUUCAUCCAUGGACACCGCAUUGUCCAUUG
rnacentral:pre_miRNA from 1 species